CUCAGGACGAACGCUGGCGGCGUGCCUAAUACAUGCAAGUCGUACGCUUCUUUUUCCACCGGAGCUUGCUCCACCGGAAAAAGAAGAGUGGCGAACGGGUGAGUAACACGUGGGUAACCUGCCCAUCAGAAGGGGAUAACACUUGGAAACAGGUGCUAAUACCGUAUAACAAUCGAAACCGCAUGGUUUUGAUUUGAAAGGCGCUUUCGGGUGUCGCUGAURGAUGGACCCGCGGUGCAUUAGCUAGUUGGUGAGGUAACGGCUCACCAAGGCCACGAUGCAUAGCCGACCUGAGAGGGUGAUCGGCCACAUUGGGACUGAGACACGGCCCAAACUCCUACGGGAGGCAGCAGUAGGGAAUCUUCGGCAAUGGACGAAAGUCUGACCGAGCAACGCCGCGUGAGUGAAGAAGGUUUUCGGAUCGUAAAACUCUGUUGUUAGAGAAGAAYAAGGAUGAGAGUAACUGUUCAUCCCUUGACGGUAUCUAACCAGAAAGCCACGGCUAACUACGUGCCAGCAGCCGCGGUAAUACGUAGGUGGCAAGCGUUGUCCGGAUUUAUUGGGCGUAAAGCGAGCGCAGGCGGUUUCUUAAGUCUGAUGUGAAAGCCCCCGGCUCAACCGGGGAGGGUCAUUGGAAACUGGGAGACUUGAGUGCAGAAGAGGAGAGUGGAAUUCCAUGUGUAGCGGUGAAAUGCGUAGAUAUAUGGAGGAACACCAGUGGCGAAGGCGGCUCUCUGGUCUGUAACUGACGCUGAGGCUCGAAAGCGUGGGGAGCAAACAGGAUUAGAUACCCUG
rnacentral:rRNA from 1 species